GUUCGAGACCAGCCUGGCCAACAUGGUGAAAUCCAGUCUCUACAAAAAAUACAAAAAAAAUUAGCUGGGCCUGGUGGCAUGCACCUGCAAUCCCAGCUACUCAGGAGGCUGAGGCACAAGAAUCACUUGAACCCGGGAGGAGGAGGCUGCAGUGAAUCAAGAUUGUGCCACUGCACUCCAGCCUGGGUAACAGAGUGACAUGCUGUCUCAAAAAAAAAAAAAAAAAAACUGUCUCAAAAAAAAAAAAAAAAAAAAAAAAAGAACCUGGACUCUGUUCCUUAGAGCAGCCCACCAGCUGAGAGCUUAAAAAAAAAAUCACACAGACAAAAAUCUCAUAAUGUUUUAAGAAAGUUUAUAAAUUUGUGUUGGGCCACAUUCAAAGUAUCCUGGGCUAUAUGUGGCCUGCAGGCCUUCAGUUAGACAAGCUUGCUUUAAGGUAUGCCCCAGGAUCCUGGCCACUGGUAUUCACAUCUUGCAUAAUCCCUUCCCCUCGAGUGUGGGUGGGGCCUGAGACUUGCUUCUAAUCCACAGAACAGGGCAAAGGUGAUGAGAUGUGACACCCUCAAUAACAUUACAUAAGACGAUAACCCAUUGUGCUAGGAGACUGUGUCUCUUGCUGGCUUUUAGGAAGCAAGCAGCCAUGUUGGCAAGGCCUACGGGGCAAACAGCUAAGAGCAGCCUCCAGCCAACACCCAGCAAGAACCCACAGGGAACUGAAUGCUGCCAACAACCACGUGAGUCUGAAGGCAGAUCCUCUCCAGGCAAGUUUCAGAUGAGACUGCAGCCCCCACUGACACCUCGAUCGCAGCCUUGUGAGAUCCUGAGCACAGCACCUUGUUCAGCUGGGCUCUCCACCCAGAUAAACUGUAGAAUAAUAAACGUGGGUUGUUUUCAGCUGCUACCUUUGUGGU
rnacentral:lncRNA from 1 species